CGAAAGGGCUCCUGUCGUGAGUGGCACACGUAGGGCAGCUUGAUUGUUCUACGUGCAGAAUCGACGUCAAGAGAUUUCAGCAGCAUAAUCUUUGGGCACCCGGACAGUUAGUGGCCAUUGGUCCUGGCACCCAC